GGAAAUUAUUACAGGGGUAACUGUAGUGGUUGGAAUAGAAAUGGCCCCCAUAGGCUCAUAUAUCUGAAUGUUUGGUCAUUAGGGAAUGAAUCUACUUGACAGGGAUUAGGAGAUGUGGCCUUGUUG